rnacentral:rRNA from 1 species
GAUCAACGCUGGCGGCGUGCCUAAUACAUGCAAGUCGAACGCAGUGGCGAACGGGUGAGUAAUACAUAAGCAAUCUGCCCACAAAACUGGGAUAACAUCUGGAAACGGGGACUAAUACCGGAUACAAGUGGAUGAGCUUAUGGCGGAUUAGUUAGUGGGUGAGGUAACGGCCCACCAGGAAGAUGACGCGUAGCCGGCCGGAGGGGGUGAACGGCUGCAUUUGGACUGCGACACGGCCUAGACUCUACGGGAGGCAGCGGUAUGUAAUUUUCGGCAAUGAGGCGAACCCUGACCGAGCAACGCCUCUGGAGUGAAGACGGCCGUCGGGUUGUAAAGCUCUGUUGUAAGAAAAGCAUUAUCUUACCAGAAAGCCACGGCUAACUCCGUGCCAGCAGCCGCGGUAAUAC